rnacentral:tRNA from 1 species
UCCUCGUUAGUAUAGUGGUGAGUAUCCCCGCCUGUCACGCGCGAGACCGGGGUUCGAUUCCCCGACGGGGAG